CUACUGGAUACCGCUGUCAUAUAUGUUUAUAUACACGCGCGCGCACUCAUCACCAAACACACACCCACUCACACCUCACACACACUCGGACCUACAACUACUCGCUCUCUGCUUUGUGGUUUUGUCUUUGCAGGGUUGUUUGCGGCUUUGGUCAUGCUGGUGCUGAGGUUGAGGGCCGAGAGGAAUAAUGGUACAGCUUGGUCUUUGCAGUCGAUGGAUUCUGGUGAAGGGAAAUUGGCUAGAGCGUAUCAGCUUGUGCCCAGUAAGAUAGACUAUCGAGUGACAUGAGAUGAGCAUCUUCGAGGAGUGGCAACUGUGGCUGUUGUAUGUAUCUCAUGACGUAAUACUUCUAUUCAGUUAUUGCAGAACCUUGAACAAUGAAGAAGAAAAAAUGAUCAAUUUGAAAACUUAGUGGGAAAGAGCGUGUAAGGCACAGAAGGUAUCUUCCUCCUCAACUCCGGCUACAGCGCAGCCUGUUGACAAUCAUCGGUUGCUGCUCAAUUCCAAUGCAGAACCUGAGGUGGCAAGUGCAGAACCUGAGAGUGACAAAGCAAGCAUAGAACCUUGCUGGCCAUUGUCAUCUAUCAAAUGAAGAAAUUGGCGAAGCUAUUUAUGAUAUUGAUUUGCUCCUGCAUGAUCCUGGAAAGAGGGCUCCCAUCACAAGUUAUGAUGUCAAUGAAUGAGAUUCAGUGAGAAGGAGAUACAUUGCAAUGCGGUCAUGUCAACCAUGGGGCCAUGAUUUUCCUCGAAGAGAUAUUGGAGGAUCAAAUUAAUUGUCCUGGUGGAGAUGCUUUCUUAAAUGAGGGAUUUAGAAAUUGGCACAUGACGAAGAGGAUUGACAAACAUGCUGGUGGCAUUACUAGUUACCAUAGUGAAGCUCUAAAGAAAUAUAAUUUGUUCAUUAAACCAAAAUCAUCUAUUGUCGAGUCUUUUGCUUCCAACACCACACAAGAGAAGGCUUUGUAUAAAUGUCAUUUUACUUAUUCACUUCAGUGCUUGAAGUUUCUUUUACGUCAAGGCUUGGCUUGUUGU